CACAGUCGGAAAUGAAACAGGAUUACCAUUUAUCUUCAGUUUUGGCAUAUUAUCUUUUUGGAUAGUCCAGAAUUCAUCUCAAUUUGCCAGAGAUUGAAAUCUUCACACACCACAUCCUGCAAUUCCCCGAGAAGUCUAAAGCAGAGGUGGCUUGCCUGCUUUUCUGGUGAGAAUUUCUACUUGAGCAGACUUUGGGGAGGGCAGGCCUCCUCUAUCUUGCUGAUAUGUCUAAGAUGUGAUCUAUUUAUAUUACAAACCAUAUGCAGAGCCUGGCAAGCCUUUCUGUAAAUGAGCUCAUCGGCUCUGCCCUAAAAUAGGAAAAGCUGGGACGGGGGCGCCAAAGACAUUGAGGACCUUUCACCGUCAUUCUGCCUCUCGGCGCUGACUGAACAGGAAGGGUGAACAAAACCUGUGGAUGGAAACGAGACCAAGAGAAAAAAAUAAGCAACUUAAUAACCUACUUUUACCCAGAGAAUGGAAAAUAAAAUGCAAGAUUCCAAACCCUGCCCUUUCAUUGCAUCUUCAUCUUUGGAAAAUACAGAGUUCCACAGACUGAACUCUCCCAGCUGGCUGGGGAUCCCACUCACUGCUAGGACCCAGGACUCCAGAAUUUUCAAUGUAUGUGUAUGUGUGUACUAUAUGUUUUAUAUAAUAUAUAGUGUACUCAUAUAAUAUUCAAU
rnacentral:lncRNA from 9 species